AAUCUUGGCAAUAGGCGAAAGCCUGGCCCAGCCACGCCGUUUGGAAGAUAAUUCCCUAGCGGGGGUAAACUCCUUUGAUACGGGAAGAAGGCAUCGUAGGAGGGGGAUGGACAGUACCGUUCGAAAUAAGCACCGGCUAACUCCGUGCCAGCAGCCGCGGUAAUACGGAGGGGGCAAGCGUUUUCCGGAUUCACUGGUGUAAAGGGUGUGUAGGCGGGACGGUAUGUUAGAGGUGAAAGCCCACGGCCUAACCGGGAACUGCCUUUAAAACUGCCGUUCGUGAGUCUCGGAGAGGUCGCUGGAAUUCUUGGUGAGCGGUGAAAUGCGUAGUUAUCACGAGGAACACCAGAGGCGUAGGCGGGUCGCUGACGAGAUCUGACGCUGAGACACGAAAGCGUGGGGAGCAAACAGGAUUAGAUACCCUGUUAGUCCACGCCGUA
rnacentral:rRNA from 1 species